AUUAUUUGCUAUGUGGAAAUUGAAAGCUCAAAAUUUCUUAUUUAACCUUCUGUCUUUUUCAACUAUUUUCUGAAAUAUUCUUUUAGCUUAAUCUUUUACCAAUACUCUCUUCAUCUGUGAGCAUUUUGUUAUUAUUUAUCCAAUUGAUUGAGAUUUGUAUUUCAAAAAUUACAUUUUUAUCAUGAUUCCCUAGUGAUUCUUUAUUUUGAAUGUCAAAAUAUUUGAAAUCUGAGAAGAUAAUUCUUGCUUACCUUAAUUAUAUUUUUCUUCUUGCUCUAUUAAAUCUCUCUUUGAAUUUGAGGGCUUCUUCUUCUUGUUGAGCUCGGUGCCGCUAUAUUAUGGUGUAAGCAUCACUCCGAUUUUAGGUGAAUCUUGAUUGUGUAUUUGCCUUUUUGUGUAAGAUGAGCUGUUGCUUAUCUGAGAAUGGCACGCAUGUCUUGUGAUUGUGGGAGAGCAUGGAAAUGAUUACAGGAAAACGGCUACUCUCCCAAGCAUAGUACAUUCUGAUUCUCCUGGUUUUUGCCAGUCACUCAAGGUAUCUCCUCUUGGGGUCUAAUUCAGUAAUAGAGGCAUAAAAAUUAAAAAAAAAAAUAGUUCAGGUACUGUCUAAGUUAGUUGCCAUGAAUUCAUGUCAAAUUGCAGCUUGGGUUGUUUAUCAUUUUAAACCAUACUUGUAAGUUUUACAAACUUCUCUAAUUUAUAAUUGGACUAUAAAGAUCACAGAUUCUUUAAAUGGUUGCUAUAUUUUAUACUAAGCAGAAAACAGUUUCUUAAAAUUCUGUACAGAGUUAAUGGUAUAUGAAAGAAUUUAAAUCGACUUUUCCUCUUGUCUCCAAAUUUCAAAGAGCAACACUUUUUUACAUUUUUAUUUUAUAAGGAUACUUUUUUUAAUUAAGGUAGCAAUAGGAAGGUAUUUCUAAUUAGAUUAAAUUUAUCGUUGUACUCAUUUCACUGACUAAAUAAAAACUCUCUCACUUUAUAAAAAAAAAAAAGUACACUGUUCCAGAGAUUACAGUUCUAAUCCUAAAUAAAUUUGACCCAUUUUGGACAAUGUUAGAAAAAAUAUUUUGAAGAUUACUUACAAAAUAUUAUGUUAUCAUCUCUGUAAGGCAAAAUUAUGGAUUUUUUUGAGUUUUUGUAUUUUCCAAACUUUCUUCAAUAGCAGCAUAUAAUUUUUAAUACUACCAAAAAUAUUUUUAAGUAUUUUCCCAAAACUGUACAUUUUUAGAACUCCUUAGCAAUUAUUAUGUUUCUGCAUAAAACAUGAAGCAAUUAUAAAACCAUCACUCUAAUCCUCAGGUCAAGUUUGAUAUGUUAACUUCUCUGCCAGAAUCAGCACAUUAAAUAGACAUAGUGAAUGCAGCUGAGAAUGCACAGAUUUUAUCAUUUCUCUUUCCUUAGUUUUUAUCUUUUUCCUUAGCUAUAUGUGCUAGCCGAUAAAUCCUCAGGGCAAACUGGCUUUGGAUCAGGGGCUGAGUCAUUAAAUAGAGAGAGAAGUGAUGAAUUAUUUUCAUCAGCAUCCACUCACAAAGUACUUCAGGUUUUCACUGUGCUACAGCCCUUCUCUGGGUCUCCUGUACUAUCCAUGAUUCAGUACAAACACUGUGGUCUUUUAUUCAAACAUGUUUCUUCUACAAAAGACCUUCUGCCCUUCUUCUAACUUCAUACAAGGAAUCCAGUCUUCUUUGAGUGAUUUUCUACUUUCAUCAAAGCUAAGAGAUCUUGAGAUUGUAGCACUGACCAAAACCUACUUCUAUCUGUGAAUUUCUAAGACUGUAUAAGUUAAAACGGCUUAAUAAAUAUUUUAGUAUUAGGGUCUUAUUCAUCUUUCAUAUCUUUCUUUUCCAAAUCAAAUACAUAAUCAAGUCCAAUUGCCUAUUCUCCUGACAUAUCAUGUAAACCUAUUUCAUUUUUUCUAUUCCUACUGACACUGUUUUUGCAUAGGACCAUAUCAAAUUUAAUUCACCUCACUGUUUCAAUGGUCUCUUCAAUAAUUCCUUUAGCUUUAAUAUAAUUCUUUAUUUGUGUUUUAUAAAAGUUGUGUCUUUUUUCUAAACUACAAUAAGAUUAUAACUUGUGAUCUUUAUGUAAUUUACAUGACUCAUAUAACACCUCAUUUUAUAUGGAAUAAAAUCCUAACUACUUGGAAGGACAGGUAAUAAUACCUACAAAUUCACAUCAACUUAUUUUUCUUGGCCACGACUUUCUCUGAUUCAACCCUGGACUGACAUAUUCUGUAUGGCAACCACAAAGUAUAACAGGCCCACUCGUUUUUAUACAUCUUUGACUUUAAUGUUCUUUUAUCAAAAGUGUAAUAAAAACAUUGUCAAAGGCUAUUUGCUUCUUCAACCAUAAGAAAAAUAUGGUCAAAUUAUGAAAAAAAUACCACCCGUUUUUUCCAUUCUGUUAAUGUUCUUUUCCUUACAUAUCUUUGUGUUAACGUCUAGCAUAAUUAGACUUUCAACCCUUCCUCAAAAGAGAUCACCUAGACUACUCCUUGUGGCUAUGACUACUGAACAGCCAUCAACAGGAAAGCUCUUCAACUUAGAACCACUAUUAACAUGUGCUAAAUUUUAAAAAUCAACUAUUUAGAGGCCUCAGGAAACAAUCAAUCCAAAACUUGUAAGGCCAACAUCUUAGAAAGAGGGGAAAGCAUUGAGGCAAGACCAACAUUUCUAUUGAUUUUUCCCUCAAGGCAUUUGUUGAUUUCCUAUCUGAGCUGGCUAAAAUAUCGAGAAAUCGGCUAUAAAACAAAGCAGAGCUCGUGGAAGUCUCGCAAUGUUAUGGACUAAAAAAAUAUUGUACAGGCCCAAGGAGAAAUGGCCUCAGAAAGGCCCUAAGCUUUCAGUUCAGACUCCUUUAAGGCUAUGCUGUGGGAUAAAAAUGUCAGUGUUUGCAAACACCAAUACUCAGCCUCAGCCGCAAAUCAACUCAGUUUCUGAACAGAGCAAAGUCAUCUGUUCUACUAUAACUUCCUUUUUUUAAGAAAAUGUGAGAAUAUUACAUCAUCCACAGCCCCUUCAAAUUGUUAUACAUAAUGUCCACCAUACAAUUCCAAAGUAUCAGGCAUGCCAGGGACAAAAAAAAUAAAUAAAUAAAUAAAAAAUAAAAAUAAAAAUAAAAAUCAAAGAAUACAAUCAAAUAGAUAAUAGAAUUUAUGCCUUAGAUGAUUCUUUAAUUGUGACUAAUAUGAUGAAGAAAUGUAUAAAAACUAGAUAAUUUCACCAAAAAAUAAGCAAAUGGAAAGCACAGAAUCAGAUUGUUAAUUAAGAAACAUAUGAAUCCACGAUGUUAGUGUCAAAUUUACUAAAUAGCGUCAAGGCUACAAGCUAUCAAAAUGCUUAGGCAGAAGAGAAAGAAGCUUCGGGGACAUCAGUAAUGACACUGGGUUCUUCAUUCCUUUAUCAGACACCAACCUCCAGCUCAGACUAGAUGAAGCCUGUAAGUCACAUUCAUGGGGUUUCUCACACAAUAGAGAGCGUUUCAACUGAGAGAUACUUUGAUUUAGUACUCCAUGGAAUUGUAGAACUUAUGUGACAUUCUCCAGGGAGCCAUUUUUUCAUAUGUUGGGUUCCAUUUUACAUAGUUUCUCCUUGGCUAGAGAGAGGUAGUUAGGGCAAUUUAGAGAUAAAGUCUCUUCUUCCUAGUAAAUACCAUUAGUCAUUUUACCUGCUUAUCUAGUUUACAUGGUUAGACUAUGUUACCUUAUCUGCUUUUUAUCCUUUCUUCCUAGGCAUUCCCCCCAAUAAAAGGAGUGAAGGAACAUAGGCCAGAUGCUUUACCCUUUCAUCUCAAUCUUUAAUAGUAACCACUGAAAUAAAAACUUAAUAGAUGGGAGUUCCCGUUGUGGCACAGUGGUUAACGAAUCUAAGAACCAUGAAGUUGAGGGUUCGAUCCCUGGCCUUGCUCAGUGGCUUAACGAUCCGCGUGGCCCUGAGCUGUGGUGUAGGUUGCAGACGCGGCUCGGAUCUGGCGUUGCUGUGGCUCUGGCGUAGGCCGGCGGCUACAGCUCCGAUUGGACCCCUAGCCUGGGAACCUCCAUAUGCCGCGGGAGCGGCCCAAGAAAUGGCAAAAAGAAAAAAAAAAAAAAAAAGAACCUGAAUAGAUGCUAAAGAUCAGAGGAAAAUAAGAAAACACUGAGAAGAGCAUAAAAUACAUGGGCACACAGUGAAAAAUUCAGAAAUAGAUCUUAUUGGAAUCCUGAACAGAAAGGAAAAACAGAGUAUGAACAGAAUCAAUAUCUGGCAGCUUCUGCUGGUAGAAUGUAAUCAUUGCAACAGGCUGUUAUUGCUAAAAACAACUCAAGCCCUUUAAAGAACCUGGAAACAAUGAGGACUAAACUGACUACAAUAGAGGUUAUAGGGCAACUUCUCUUCUUUCCUAGGGAUGUUUACCAACGCUAGACACAGUCUAGGGACUGAGGACUGAACCUUAGCCAAGGCAAAGGGCAAGUAAUGGGAGAUUUUAGUGACUGCAUGGGGCUGGAGUGACAAAAUUGGAAAUGUGAGGGUCCUCAAACCCAUGGCCUACCUACCCCUCUCUGCAGAGCCAAAUUCUGAAACUGCAAAAGCCAGGAUGCUAAAAUCCAAAAUCUUCUGAAGGGAAGAAUUAGUUUUUCUACACUUCUCUAGAGUUGACUACAAAACAAUCUAGGAACAAGUGUGAACCAGAAUUAAACCGAGUCUUGCUGAAAUUUAAACCAGCUUUAUGUACUAGUCCCUGCUGGAUUGAGAAGGUCUCCUCUCAGACUACCCAACAUCAUAACUCUGUAUUUGUAGGGGAAGGUAAAGUAAAUUCUCUUCAAUGGAAGUUUUCAUCAUCUGAAACCUCCACAAUCCCUUCAUACACAAUAUCCAGAAUAAAAUGAAAAAAGAUAACUUGUGAGAAAAGGCAAGGGCUGACCCAAUCUCAGGGGAAAACAACCAAGGCACUUACAACCAUCCUGUGUCCACACAACUAUUCUGUUUUCCAGCUUUCCAUAAAUUACGUGAGAUAUUCAACACUGUCUUUUUAAAAAAAUAGGCUUUUGGUAGAUGAUUGUGCCCAAUGGUAGGCUAAUGAAAGUGCUGUGAGCACACUGAAGUCAGCUAGGCUCUGCUAAGACGUUCGGUAGAUUAGACAUUUGAAGUGCAUUUUCAAUUUAUGAUAUUUUCAACUUAGGAGGAGUUAUCAAAAUGAAGCUCAUCCUAAGUAGAGGGGGAUAUGUAUUCAUUGUUCAAUCUCUAAAGUAGCAGUUCUCAAAGAAGAACCUUUCAGGGUUCCAUGGGGUGACAAUAAUUUUCAAACAAACACUAAGAUAUUAUUUUAUUUUUUGCUCUCAUUUUUAUAUAAAUAUAUAGUGGACAUUUCCAAGGUAAAAUGAUAUUACAUCCUUGCCUGAUGGCUAAUGUGAUAUGUGUUUGUAUACUCUGUUGUUUAAACCUUUCUCAAUUAUAAUUUUUAAUAUAAUAAAAAUCAAAAUAUAUAACCCAGGAGUUCCCACUGUGGCAAAGUGGGUUAAGAAUUCAACUUCAGCAGCUCAGGCUGCUUCAGAGGCAUGGGUUUGAUCCCUGUCCCAGUGCAGUGGGGUUACAGGAUUCAGUAUUGCACAGCUAUGACUAGGAUUCAGUAUCUGGCCUGGGAAAUCCCAUAUACUGUGGGUGGAGCUAUAUAAGACUAUAUAUAUCAAAGACUGAAAAUUAAGAGUUAAAUUGCUAAGUGAAUAUAAAAGAAAAAUAACUAGGGAGUUCUUUUCAUGGCUCAGUGGUUAACGAACCUGACCAGGAUCCAUGAGGAUGCAGGUUCGAUCCCUGGCCUCGCUCAGUGGGUUAAAGGAUCCGGUGUUGCCAUGAGCUAUGGUGUAGCUCACACAUGUGGCUCAGAUCUGGCACUGCUGUGCCUGUGGUAUAGGCCAGUGGCUGUAGCUCCACUUUGACCCCUAGCCUGGGAACU
rnacentral:lncRNA from 1 species